rnacentral:lncRNA from 1 species
AUGCACGGGAUCCAAAUAGUAUAUAACUUCAGAGACCGCAUUGAUUGCAAAUAGCACCCAAUGUGCCCUACAACAACAAAAAAUUGGUUAAGCAAUUUUGUUUAUACAUAACUAAUAAAUUAAAUUCUCAUCAAUUAAAAAAGAUAAAAUUACGUACCCUGAAUUAUAUGGUGCCAAGAACAAUCUAUCAUUUUCUAUAUUUCCUAAAAACAUAUCUACAAUGUAUUUCUUUACAUUGUCUGGAUCGAGUUUCCAGAUCGACAUCUUAUGCGGAGACAAGAAUGAGUAUUUAUUUGACAAUUUCCUCGUGCACACGACCUUCUCAUACAAAAUCCUUCAAUGAAAAUUUUAAACUAGAUUAAUUACCAAUACAUUUAAUUAAUUACAAAUAAAUGCAAUUAAAAGUAUUUUUUACCUUAUGUACAAGCUCAUUACAGUAGCACUGAGCUCCUUAUGUUCGAGAAGUUCGUAUAUGUGCUCCUUUACGAGAUAUUCAACAUACUCAUCUCCAAAUAUAUCUUUAUUCAUGUGUACGAUGUGCGAAUCGUCGCUGCUGCC